GUCGUCUCAUGACCCUCCCACCAUAAGUAAUGGUUGGAGGUGCCUGAUUGUCCCAUUCAACUAAAGGUCUUUCCUCUCCUCCCACUACUUGGUCCCAUCUUUUUUUAUGACCUCUUCAUCAUCCCUAUAUGGAGAUGGAGUAAUGGGUGCCUCAUUCUCUACUACCUCUUAUUUUGCUAGUUUAUGGAGUCCAAUGGGCAUCUAUUGCUCAUUUAUUCCAUUAGCAACUAUUGGUUCCAUAUGAAAUAUCAUAAACAAAUGAACAAAAAACAAAAAUAAAAAUUAUAAGACGAGGUAAAAAGUAAGCUAUCUAAGUUAAGAAAAAGCCGAAGAUUUCCAAAAGCAGGAUCAUCUUAGCCAAACGAGGUAUUGCAUUCCAAGGGCAUACUCACCUUCCGGGAGGAGGAGUCUUAAUAGAAUUUAUAGUUGAAUUAUCAUUAGUAGCAGCUUCUUUAGGAUAAAUAGCUGUAGAAUCUGCAAGCUGUACAGAUUCGACAGAAAUGGAUGGAUGGUCAGAAGCUCUAGUGGCUAAUGAAGAAUCUUUGUUGAAAGAGGUGUCCUCGGUAUCCUCUUCACUAGCCUUCAGAAAACCCAAAUCCCGCUCAAGAUGAAAGUUCCUAACAAUUUCAAGAGCCUUGUUGUCACCAUCCUGCAUGGCCAUCUCCAAAAGUUUCCACUCAUUAGUCUUCACUUUGGAAAAGUCAGACUUCGCAAGGGCCAAUUUUGUCUCCGUAUUCUCUAGCCGACUCACUCCUCACCUUGUCGAGCUCUUUGGAGAUAGCAAACUGUUUACCCUUAACUGACUAAAGCCACUCACUGAGGCGAAGAUGCUUCGCAUCAGUUCUAGCGAUAUAAGCAGCAUGGCUUUCUCUGGCUUGCUCCAAAUCCUUAGUGACACUGGUGACAUCAACUACUAAAGGAACUUUAUUCACAGCCCGAGACUUAGCUUUUGCUCGUCUCCUUGUAUUUUCUCUUCUAUUUCUCAGCUUUUCUCAGCCUUUUUUUGGAGAGCUUCGCAUUUCUUUUCCAAAGAUCAGCUCUUUUCUCUAAUUUAUCAGCCUGCAAAACGUAGACUUCAUAUUCAGUUUGCUGAUCGUAAUCAAGGACGACAGCUCAUGAAAGAUGGGCAUCGAUUAGAAUAUCGCUUUGCCUAGGCAUCAUAUUCUCUUCAAACUUCUCUCAAGUAGAGUUAAAAUAUAGAAAAGUAGAUCUGGAUGUCUUGCAGAUGAAGGCGAGAAUCAUCGAUAGUGCUUUAGGUCUAGCUCCUCAUUGAAUGGGAGAAAAAUAAAACUUUAGUCUCCACAAGAUGUUCUGACCCUCUAGCAUUUUCCGUUUUCCAUUUACGGCAUCCCUUAUUGAAAUUUGGCAAAG
rnacentral:lncRNA from 1 species